rnacentral:lncRNA from 1 species
CAACAUCUUGACUGCAAGCUCAUGAGAGACCCGAGCCAGAACUACCCAGUUAGGUGCUUCUGGAUUCCUGACCUACAGAUACUGGGCUGGGCAGUGGCUCAACUCGAGGCAGAUCACCCACCCACUUCCAAGAUCCAACUAUAAGCUUUUUAACUGCAGCAACUUAAGUAUACGCUACUAGAACUGGAAUUAAUCAUUCUAUACUUAAAACAAAAAACCCUAGGGUCUCCUGGAUUUCUGGGACAUGCAAUUGUCAUCAGUAAGAAGGAAUUUCAAAAUAAAGGACUCCACCUUUUCUAAAAUUUAUGCCAAUUACUUGAUUUCCUUGUCUUGUUAAAUCCUCCUAAAUUGUGUGGGACAUUACUAACCACAGCAAGCAUCUGUGUCUGGUUCUUGAUUUUUAGUGAAAUGGCUUUUAGUGUUUUGUUGUUUAGAAUGAUAGUUGCUGUUAGUUUUCUUUAGUUGAGGUAUACAUAAUAAAAUUUAACCUUUUAAAGUGUACAGUUU